rnacentral:rRNA from 1 species
GCAAGUCGAGCGGACAGAUGGGAGCUUGCUCCCUGAUGUUAGCGGCGGACGGGUGAGUAACACGUGGGUAACCUGCCUGUAAGACUGGGAUAACUCCGGGAAACCGGGGCUAAUACCGGAUGGUUGUCUGAACCGCAUGGUUCAGACAUAAAAGGUGGCUUCGGCUACCACUUACAGAUGGACCCGCGGCGCAUUAGCUAGUUGGUGAGGUAACGGCUCACCAAGGCGACGAUGCGUAGCCGACCUGAGAGGGUGAUCGGCCACACUGGGACUGAGACACGGCCCAGACUCCUACGGGAGGCAGCAGUAGGGAAUCUUCCGCAAUGGACGAAAGUCUGACGGAGCAACGCCGCGUGAGUGAUGAAGGUUUUCGGAUCGUAAAGCUCUGUUGUUAGGGAAGAACAAGUGCCGUUCAAAUAGGGCGGCACCUUGACGGUACCUAACCAGAAAGCCACGGCUAACUACGUGCCAGCAGCCGCGGUAAUACGUAGGUGGCAAGCGUUGUCCGGAAUUAUUGGGCGUAAAGGGCUCGCAGGCGGUUUCUUAAGUCUGAUGUGAAAGCCCCCGGCUCAACCGGGGAGGGUCAUUGGAAACUGGGGAACUUGAGUGCAGAAGAGGAGAGUGGAAUUCCACCGUGUAGCGGUGAAAUGCGUAGAGAUGUGGAGGAACACCAGUGGCGAAGGCGACUCUCUGGUCUGUAACUGACGCUGAGGAGCGAAAGCGUGGGGAGCGAACAGGAUUAGAUACCCUGGUAGUCCACGCCGUAAACGAUGAGUGCUAAGUGUUAGGGGGUUUCCGCCCCUUAGUGCUGCAGCUAACGCAUUAAGCACUCCGCCUGGGGAGUACGGUCGCAAGACUGAAACUCAAAGGAAUUGACGGGGGC